AGGACGAACGCUGGCGGCGUGCUUAACACAUGCAAGUCGAACGGUGAGGCCUUUCGGGGCUGAUCAGUGGCGAACGGGUGAGUAACACGUGGGCAAUCUGCCCCAGAUUCUGGGACAACACCGGGAAACCGGUGCUAAUACCGGAUAUGACGCGUCCCCGCAUGGGGUGCGCGUGGAAAGCUCCGGCGAUCUGGGAUGAGCCCGCGGCCUAUCAGCUUGUUGGUGGGGUAAUGGCCUACCAAGGCGACGACGGGUAGCCGGCCUGAGAGGGCGACCGGCCACACUGGGACUGAGACACGGCCCAGACUCCUACGGGAGGCAGCAGUGGGGGAAUAUUGCACAAUGGGCGAAAGCCUGAUGCAGCGACGCCGCGUGAGGGAUGACUGCCUUCGGGUUGUAAACCUCUUUCAGCAGGGAAGAAGCGCAAGUGACGGUACCUGCAGAAGAAGCACCGGCUAACUACGCGCCAGCAGCCGCGGU
rnacentral:rRNA from 1 species